CAGGAAUGGACCCUACAUGAAAAUCAAGGGAGAUAACCUGUUGCCAGAAUCCAACCAAGGCAACUGUCGAACAAGCAAUACCAACGAAUGGUGUUUUGAAGCUGGUGACGACCGUGUGAACGUGUUCCCUGGUCUGGCCGUGCUACACACCGUGUUUGUCC